rnacentral:rRNA from 1 species
CCUACGGGAGGCUGCAGUGGGGAAUAUUGCACAAUGGGCGCAAGCCUGAUGCAGCCAUGCCGCGUGUGUGAAGAAGGCCUUCGGGUUGUAAAGCACUUUCAGCGGGGAGGAAGGCGGUGAGGUUAAUAACCUCAUCGAUUGACGUUACCCGCAGAAGAAGCACCGGCUAACUCCGUGCCAGCAGCCGCGGUAAUACGGAGGGUGCAAGCGUUAAUCGGAAUUACUGGGCGUAAAGCGCACGCAGGCGGUCUGUCAAGUCGGAUGUGAAGUCCCCGGGCUCAACCUGGGAACUGCAUUCGAAACUGGCAGGCUAGAGUCUUGUAGAGGGGGGUAGAAUUCCAGGUGUAGCGGUGAAAUGCGUAGAGAUCUGGAGGAAUACCGGUGGCGAAGGCGGCCCCCUGGACAAAGACUGACGCUCAGGUGCGAAAGCGUGGGGAGCAAACAGGAUUAGAUACCCCAGUAGUC